rnacentral:rRNA from 1 species
GCAUAUCAAUAAGCGGAGGAAAAGAAACUAACAAGGAUUCCCCUAGUAACGGCGAGUGAAGCGGGAAGAGCUCAAAUUUGUAAUCUGGCACUUUCGGUGUCCGAGUUGUAAUCUCGAGAAGUGUUUUCCGCGCCGGACCGCAUACAAGUCUGUUGGAAUACAGCGUCAUAGUGGUGAGAACCCCGUAACUGAUGCGGAUGCCCGGUGCUUUGUGAUACACUUUCGAAGAGUCGAGUUGUUUGGGAAUGCAGCUCAAAUUGGGUGGUAAAUUCCAUCUAAAGCUAAAUAUUGGCGAGAGACCGAUAGCGAACAAGUACCGUGAGGGAAAGAUGAAAAGCACUUUGGAAAGAGAGUUAACAGUACGUGAAAUUGUUGGAAGGGAAACGCUUGAAGUCAGACUUGCUAUUUGGAAUUCAGCCGCAAGGUGUACUUUUCAAUUCGCAGGCCAGCAUCAGUUUUCGGGGGUGGAAAAGGGUAGAGAGAAGGUAGCARUUUCGGYUGUGUUAUAGCUCUUUGCUGGAUUCAUCCUUGGGGACUGAGGAACGCAGCACGCUUUUUGCAAGGCUUUCGAGCUUUUCGUGCUUAGGAUGCUGGUGGAAUGGCUUUAAACGACCCGUCUUGAAACACGGACCAAGGAGUCUAACAUGCUUGCGAGUGUUUGGGUGUCAAACCCGGACGCGCAAUGAAAGUGAAUGGAGGUGGGAAGCGCAAGCUGCACCAUCGACCGAUCUGGAUUUUUUAAGAUGGAUUUGAGUAAGAGCAAUUAUGUUGGGACCCGAAAGAUAGUGAACUAUGCCUGAAUAGGGCGAAGCCAGAGGAAACUCUGGUGGAGGCUCGUAGCGGUUCUGACGUGCAAAUCGAUCGUC